AUUGAAAGCUGGCGGCAGGCCUAACACAUGCAAGUCGAGCGGAGCGGAGGACGGGUGAAUAAUGCCUAGGAAUCUGCCUGGUAGUGGGGGAUAACGUCCGGAAACGGGCGCUAAUACCGCAUCCUAUCAGAUGAGCCUAUGUCGGAUUAGCUAGGUUGUGGGGUAAAGGCCUACCAAGGCGACGAUCCGUAACUUGUCUGCGAGGAUGAUCAGUCACACUGGAACUGAGACACGGUCCAGACUCCUACGGGAGGCAGCAGUGGGUAAUAUUGGACAAUGGGCGAAAGCCUGAUCCAGCCAUGCCGCGUGUGUGAAGAAGGUCUUCGGAUUGUAAAGCACUUUAAGUUGGGAGGCGUUACCAACAGAAUAAGCACCUGAUAACUUCGUGCCAGCAGCCGCGGUAAUUC
rnacentral:rRNA from 1 species